UAUUGCACCAUCUGCCACCAGAGAGAGGAUGCUGCUGUUCACUGCUGCAGCACCAUGUUUACCAGCAGCAUGCGGUAUACAGAGGGUGACAUAUAAAAAAGUCAAGAAACAAUUUUUCCCCCUUUUCUUUCAUGGAGGGGUAGGGGGGUAAAUUGACG